GUUAAGGCUAAAACUCUGACUCAACAAGCCAUUUCUUUACCUCAGAACCUAAAAGCAGGGCACCAAGCCUGGGAUUUUAAUAACAAAUUUCAAAGCAUGACACCAAUAAAAAAUUUUUCUUAAUGUUAUAUACAAGUCAUAGGAGAACACAUUUAAAUUUCUAACCAGCAUGUGCAUCACCUAGCCCUACGGGUGCAUGGGAUAGCUUGACAAGUUUUUUUUAUUUGUUAUAUUAUAUUCUUUGAAAUGAGGGAAACAACUGAACAUCAGCCAAUUCUGAGGACAUUCUCAAAAAUGUCCUCAAGAAAAAUAAAUGAGGGAAAAACAUAAUUAAUCCUGACACUGGUGAUUUGCACUGCAAUGAUAAAAAUGGAGAUAGUAAGUACAUUGUCACAGACCUUGAAAGACAGUGAGAGUGAAGAGAAUGUGGGUGGCAAGCAGUUACUGGAGCUGACACCAUUAUGCCAAAAUAAAUUAUCUAUUUUAUAGGUAGAUUGUAUGGUUGAGUUUAUCUAGCACUCAGAUGGGAACUACCCCUGCUGCAUGACACACAAUACAGCAGGGAAUAUUUGGCUUUCAAGCUUGUUGACAUAGGUGCCGUGUAGCUGAGCAUGGUGUGAGAUGCUGAGGGUCAGUGUUUACAGCUCAUGCUGCUUUCCAUCUCCAUCAGCCCUGUGCAGCUGAAGCUCUGUACCCUCGCUGGUCCCAGAGAUGCUGAGGACUCUGCUCCUGGGGACAUCGCCAUAUGGAGAAGAAUGUUCCCAAGGCACAAAGCAGCCCAUCAGAGAGGGAGGGGUCCCCCCAGCCAAGGAGAUGGGCAGGUGUGUCCCUGGCGCCACGGCGCCUCGUCAUGGCUUUGCCCCUGACAGCUCAAUGCAUCUGCUCCUGCCUCAGAACAAUUCGGUGCCGGGUCGCUCCGCACUGUUUCAGGGAGAGCACAAACAGAAGCACGCCUGAUUGCAGCUGAGCCACAAGGGCCCUUCCCACCAUACACCCACCAAUGCCUCAUUGCCCCUGCUGCGCCCUGCCAUCUGCACCCGUCUGUACUUUCAUCCCUUGUUCUCCUCUGCAUUGCCUGUUCUAUCAGAGACAGUGCUAACAGUGCUUCACGUGACAGAGUACAUGCUGUUUUAUACAUCAAGAUAGUAACCCACAUAAUUUACUUUAUUUACCUUUUAAUCCAUCUAGUGAUUACUGCUGUCAAUUGCUACUAGAGCAAGGAAAUGCUCUGGUACCCGCAGUGUGCUUGUGGGACUCACUGCUACCACAUGGAUUUGCAGUAGUCGGGAGACAUUUCUAGAAAAAGCUACUCUGACUAUUUCAAAAAGUGGAUCUCCUGGGAGCAACAUCUUUGGACUACUAUGUGGGAAGAGCAGUAAUGCAUGGAAGAGAUACCUGUGACACAUGUAAACAAGAUGCUCGAAGUUACGAGAAAACAAACGCCGAAGAGGAGGGAAGAGGCACAGGGAAACCAUCAGGAAUAUAAAACAUGGGCACUUGAUUGGAAAUCUUUCAGGUAAAAUGCCAGGAAAACAACAAUGCCAGUUCCAAGGAGAGGAGCAGAGGCUGCAAUCUGCCGUGUGCAAUCACCGUUGGCUUGCCUUGUGGCUGUUGCUAAGAAGAGAUGUAGCUGUGUGCAUUGCCCAGGUCCUCUCCAAGUGACAACUCACAAGAAGGGUAAAAGAGACAACACUUAGGGGUUGGACUGGAUGACCUCCAGAGGUCCCUUCCAACCUCAAUCAUUCCACAUUUCUGUGAUUAGAAGAGGUUAUAUCUAUCUGCUUUGCUGUGGUUGCUACUCUGGUGGCUUUUGAGGAAGCCUUCUCUCCAGGUUUGUCCCACCUGGAACAUGUUGAAACAGCAUGAGCAGAGAGAUGCAAGUUGCCAAAAUCCUAAUGGUCAAAAAAAUGGCAGGUUCAGCUGCAGUUUAUGGAAACAGGCAUAAUUGUUAGGGUUCAGAGAUGGCAUCAAGCAGAGGAGCUGGCUCCCAACUCAGGAGGUCACUCAAACUCUGGGUUUGCACUGUCCAGUUUUCUCUGAGAAAUCAUGCUCAAAUGUUUUUGUGUGAUGCCAAAACCAGAAAGUAUGUAAGACUCCUCACUGAAAAAAUCAAGCAAUUAUUACAGGAUCGGGAUAAUCUCCACAUGUACAAAAUAGGAGAAGUUUGGGGCUGUUGGAAAAAGGAAAUUUUAUCUCAUUGAACUUGGUGGCAAAGAAUUCCCAACUGAAGCAUGAUUUCACCCUAUAUUAUACUCUUGUCAGUGUGGAGAUUUUUGGUUAUAGAUAAGGAUCAGCCAGGGUUUAUAACAAAGUUUAUUUUGUAGUAAGUCUGUAGCAGCAAUUAAAGUUCCAAAACAGUUUUCACAUACUAGUAAUUUAAAGAAAAGUACAUCUCUGAAGAUGUAAUUUUCCAUUUUAAUCUCCAUCCAAAGAUAUUCUUUAACUUUGGGCAAAUUCCUGUCAAACAGUUUGAGUUAUAAUUGUAUGAAAAAAGAUACUUUGCCAGAUGUAAAAAAAAAAAGAUGACUGCUGACUUUUUUCUUUCUUUUCUACAAGAUAAGCCAUGAGAGCUGACCUCUGAAGAACAGUAUAUAACUAACCACUCAGGAACUUGUUCAUAAAUGGGCUGGAAAAGUAAACUGGAAAAAAACCUUAAAUUAUUAAGCCUGAAUGCUGGGUAAUAAGAUGAACAGUCGAAAAAUGGCAAUGAGAUAUUUAAAUUCUUUUUGAUUGACAACCUGCUGCCUAAACCAUACUUGAGACAGUAAAGCUAGUACAUAUGGAUCUGGGGCUCUAUACAGAUAUAAUAGAACGGGUUAUUUCAACUUCCAGUGGAGAAACUGUGGUUGUAUUCAAUAUCACAAAUGUAAAUCUCUGAAUUGCAUCAAGCAACUUAGAAAAAAUUAUCCUAUUGCAAGGCAAAUUUGGAAGAAAGUAAUUAUUCUUUAUAUAAAAUGGUUCUGAAUAAAGAAUUAAUUUACUUAUUUGCUAAUGAAGAAUUGGUUUACUUAAUAUAUAAAUUUUUCCAGGAAUAGAGUCCUGGGGUAUCCUGAGAGGAGUGGUUGAGUAGCCGGAGACCUUUAACAUGUAGAGGUCUUUGUAGGACAUGCAAUGUAUUGAGGGAAAGAAAUCACUGAUCCAAGCUACCAUCCAGGUGUGUUUGCCAUCCUGACUGCUCAUCUCAAAAAUUUGUCAGACUUAUGCAGAGCAAAAAAUACAGACAUAAUUCCCCAUGUCCCCAGAGGUCUUUUCUGGUAUGUUUAGUUAUAUAUGGAAGAUAUAUCAACACUUUCUUGAUGCCUGACAGCACAAAAUCUUCCAAUAAGAAGCUACAGUAUCUGGUUUCAUUGUGAAAUUUUUAUAAUGUGCCAUAAAAUUUUCAGUAUUUACAACGUAUGCGAACUGGGAUCGAUUUUCUUACACUAGCACAGCAAGUACACCUCUAAGAUCCAGUUAAUGGUAGCAAGGCGCACUGGUUUAUUAUUUCAUUUUCUGAUUGUAUCUAUAUUAAAAUCAAAAUAAACUGGGAUUUUUAUUCCUCCUUA